rnacentral:rRNA from 1 species
AGCGAACUCUGGCGGCAGGCCUAACACAUGCAAGUCGAACGAGCCCUUCGGGGUUAGUGGCGGACGGGUGAGUAACACGUGGGAACGUGCCUUUAGGUUCGGAAUAACUCAGGGAAACUUGUGCUAAUACCGAAUGUGCCCUUCGGGGGAAAGAUUUAUCGCCUUUAGAGCGGCCCGCGUCUGAUUAGCUAGUUGGUGAGGUAAUGGCUCACCAAGGCUACGAUCAGUAGCUGGUCUGAGAGGAUGACCAGCCACAUUGGGACUGAGACACGGCCCAAACUCCUACGGGAGGCAGCAGUGGGGAAUCUUGCGCAAUGGGCGAAAGCCUGACGCAGCCAUGCCGCGUGGAUGAUGAAGGUCUUAGGAUUGUAAAAUCCUUUCACCGGUGAAGAUAAUGACUGUAGCCGGAGAAGAAGCCCCGGCUAACUUCGUGCCAGCCGCCGCUGUAACAC